GCCGUAACGUGCUUUCGUUCAAAUUUUCGCCUUGAUGUGAAGGACUUAACCCAAAAACACAUCAAAAUUGCAUUUAAACAUUACCAAUUUUAAUUAAACAUUAAUAUAUUACAUAUUUUUUGGUGGGAAUUAAAAAUAACUUAGUGCUCCACUUCAAUGACAUUUUUUUGGAAAAUAAAACCCUAAUCUACUAGUCGACGUCCAAAGCGCCGAGGUUGAUGAUCUCGGCUGCACCGCCGUCGCCUGCACCGCCCUCAUCGUCAUCGCUGCUCUCGGCAAGGGUAUCCCAGUCGACGACGUCGGCGGCGGCGGCUGGCACCGCCGCCUCCACUAGCGCCACCGCAUCCGCAUGCGCCGCCGCCGCUUGCACUGCCACCGCCACUUCCAGAGCUUCACUGGUGUCAGCCGCCUCCACUGGCGCCACCGCAUCCACCUGCGCCGCCGCCUACAUUGCUGCCGCCGCUUGCACUGCCACCGCCACUUCCAGGGCUUCACUGGCCGCCGCUGCCGCUGCAGCUGUCGCUUCCGAUGCCUGAAGGGCGAAGAGGAGCUCGGGGGUGUUCUCGGGGUCGUUGUCUUCACGAAGGACGACCUGUUCUGCCAGGAGAUCGACGACAUCAGGGCGUGGGGACGGCCGCGAUGUCAGAACCUGUAGACGCGGGGCCGACGCCGAGCCUGCAGUCGGACGCCUGGCUGGUGGGUGCGGGGACGACGACGAACCUGACGUCGAUCGCCGGAGUUCGUCGAUGAUGUCCCAAUAGGACUUGUCGUUCCAGAAAGCGUGGCGGCCGACGGCGGCGCUCCUGCGCCGUCACGCUGGGGCCUCUCGUCGGGUAUCCGUUGUCGGAGAUCUUGAACUCCUUCAGGAGACGUCACCCCGGCGGCACCAUGAUGCUGAAGCGGAGAAGCUCCUCUGUCUCCGACGUGCCCAAACUUGUCAGCUAGGCACUGUCGGGCAG
rnacentral:lncRNA from 1 species